GGGGUCUGCGGCGGAUUAGCUAGUUGGUGAGGUAACGGCCCACCAAGGCGACGAUCCGUAGCUGGUCUGAGAGGACGGCCAGCCACACUGGGACUGAGACACGGCCCAGACUCCUACGGGAGGCAGCAGUAAGGAAUAUUCCACAAUGGGCGAAAGCCUGAUGGAGCGACGCCGCGUGCGGGAAGAAGCCUUUCGGGGUGUAAACCGCUUUUGUGGGGGAUGAAACAAGACAGUACCCCACGAAUAAGCCUCGGCUAACUACGUGCCAGCAGCCGCGGUAAUACGUAGGAGGCGAGCGUUGUCCGGAUUUACUGGGCGUAAAGCGCGCGCAGGCGGCAGCCUAAGUACGGAGUGAAAUCUCCCUGCUCAACGGGGAGGGUGCUCUGUAGACUGGGCAGCUAGAGGACGGUAGGGGGGGGGUGGAAUUGCUGGUGUAGCGGUGAAAUGCCGUAGAGAUCAGCAGGAACACCCCGUGGCGAAGGCGGCCCCCUGAGACCGAACCUGACUCUGAUGCGCGAAGGCUAGGGGUAGCGAACGGGGAUUAGAUACCCCGGUAGUCCUAGCAGUAAACGAUGACCACUAGGUGUGGGGGGUGUUGACCCCUUUCCGUGCCGAAGCCAACGCAUUAAGUGGUCCGCCUGGGGAGUACGGUCGCAAGACUAAAACUCAAAGGAAUUGACGGGGACCCGCACAAGCAGCGGAGCGUGUGGUUUAAUUCGAUGCAACGCGAAGAACCUUACCAGGGCUUGACAUCUAUUCGCAACCUCGUGAAAGCGGGGCCUCCUUCGGGACGGAUAGACAG
rnacentral:rRNA from 1 species